GACGAACGCUGGCGGCGUGCUUAACGCAUGCAAGUCGAACGGAAAGGCCCUGCUUGCAGGGUACUCUAGUGGCGAACGGGUGAGUAACACGUGGGCGAUCUGCCCUGCACUUCGGGAUAAGCCUGGGAAACUGGGUCUAAUACCGGAUAGGAGCCACUUUUACUUUGAUGGUUGUAAAGUUUUUUCGGUGUGGGAUGAGCCCGCGGCCUAUCAGCUUGUUGGUGGGGUAAGGGCCUACCAAGGCGGCGACGGGGAGCCGGCCUGGGAGGGUGGACGGCCACAUUGGGACUGAGAUACGGGCCAGACUCCUACGGGAGGCAGGAGGGGGGAAUAUUGCACAAUGGGCGCAAGCCUGAUGCAGCGACGCCGCGUGGGGGAUGACGGGCUUCGGGUUGUAAACUCCUUUCGCUAGGGACGAAGCUUAUUGUGACGGUACCUAGAUAAGAAGCACCGGCUAACUACGUG
rnacentral:rRNA from 1 species